rnacentral:rRNA from 1 species
GCCACCUGAAGGAAGGGUGGUCUUACCUGCUCAAUGAUAAAUGGCUAUAGUAUUCUAACUAUACAAAGGUAGCAUAAUCAGUUGUUUUUUAAUUGGGGACUAGAAUGAAAGGUAUGACUGAGAGGAUAGUUUUAUGCAUUGAACUUUAAUCAGGAUUAAAAAUGAUUUUAUGAACCCCUGGGACGAGAAGACCCUAGAAGCUUAAAGGCUCUUUUGGUUGGGGUGACUGAGGAAUAAAUGAACUUUUUAAAGUUACUCUAGGGAUAACAGCGUAAUUAGACAGGAGAGUUCUUAUUGGAUGUUUAGUUUGCGACCUCGAUGUUGAAUUAAGGGGUGAAGGGAUUUUAGUCUGUUCGACUAUUAAAGACUUACA